CUGCAUCCCAAAACCAGUCCAACCUGUCUCUGCCUCCCUAACCUGUUCUUCCUCUCAGCCAUCCCUUCCUCCCACCCCAAGCCGCACCCCCAGCUACCUACUAACCUCAUCCCACCUCCUUGACCUGUCCGUCUUCCCUGGACUGACCUUUUCUCUCCUCUCCACCUUCGGUCCGCCUCCCCCUCUCUCCCUAUUUAUUCCAGUUCCCUCUCCCCGUCCCCCUCUCUGAUGAAGGGUCUAGGCCCGAAACGUCAGCUUUUGUGCUCCUGAGAUACUGCUUGGCCUGCUGUGCUCAUCCAGCCUCACAUUUUAUUAUUUUAGGAGAGAGAGCUGUUUUGGUUUGUGAUACAAGAGACGAGGCUGUCUAUGCCUUUCACCCAUCGGUAGCUCUCCUCCUGUCCCUGCCUCUAUGCACACACUCUGCCAGGCAUAGUCUUCCUCCCUCUGUGUGUGUGUGUGUGUGUGUGUGUCUCUCUCUCGCUUCAGCUCCUAAAACCUAAGAUGCAUCGGAUAUAAAAACACGCACAUAAACACACACACACACACACACACACACACACACACAUCAACAAGCCAUGGAGAAAGAUCAGGAAUUACUGCAAGCUGUCAAAACCGAAGAUGUAGCUGCAAUGCAGAAGCUGUUGCAAAGGCCGAAACAAGGCAAAGCGAAACCAUACGAUGAGACUGUUUUGAUGAGAAAUUUCAAGAUUACGUGUCCCAUCCGUUUGACUCACAGUUUGGUACCAUAGGUUGGUACGAUCUUCGUUGGAGAAGGAAAAGGGAUGUUCCAGAUACAGAAAACCGUCAAACCAUUUACAACAAAGUCCGUUUCUGAUUGUGAUGUUGGUUCCUGGAAAGCCUCCAUUGUUGGAGGACGAGAAUCCGUAUCCAAUUGAAGCAGCAUAGGCUUUUGGGAUGACUGUGGAAACCACUGCUUAUGCCUUGCUUCAAGCAUUGUCAAGGAAUGAUAUUGACUAUGCAACACCGAUUGCGAGGUGGCCAACGAUGCAACAGAACUAUGGUGGUGGAUUUCACUCGACGCAGGUAAAUGCUUGAGAUCACAACAACAGGCAUUCAGAUAUUUCCAUUGAUCAUGUUACUAACUGGUGGUUGUUGCAGUU